rnacentral:rRNA from 1 species
GCCAGACUCCUACGGGAGGCAGCAGUGAGGAAUAUUGGUCAAUGGACGCAAGUCUGAACCAGCCAUGCCGCGUGCAGGAUGACGGCUCUAUGAGUUGUAAACUGCUUUUGUACGAGGGUAAACCCCGAUACGUGUAUCGGGUUGAAAGUAUCGUACGAAUAAGGAUCGGCUAACUCCGUGCCAGCAGCCGCGGUAAUACGGAGGAUGCGAGCGUUAUCCGGAUUUAUUGGGUUUAAAGGGUGCGUAGGCGGAACAUUAAGUCAGCGGUAAAAUCGAGGGGCUCAACCCCUUUAAGCCGUUGAAACUGGUGAUCUUGAGUGGGCGAGAAGUAUGCGGAAUGCGUGGUGUAGCGGUGAAAUGCAUAGAUAUCACGCAGAACUCCGAUUGCGAAGGCAGCAUACCGGCGCCCGACUGACGCUGAGGCACGAAAGCGUGGGGAUCGAACAGGAUUAGAUACCCCAGUAUGA